rnacentral:misc_RNA from 1 species
UAACAAAGCAAAAGUUUAUUUUUUUAAAAAAAUAAAAGGCACAAUGAUAACAAUUUUGACAUAGAAAAUGAAUCGAAGCAAAGUAAACUAUAUACAUUUAUAUUUCUCACGAUCCUUGGUAGAUUGAUCUGCAAAUAACAAGUCCCGAUUCCGUUUCAAUUGGUUGUGAAAAUCCAAAUAGGCAGUUAGAAUUUUUCAAAAUAAAGUUUCAUUUAUUUUUUGCCUUAUGUCACGCUCCAUUUUGUUGAAUAACAUUCUUGAAUCUUGAUAAACUGACCCAAAGGCACACCUAGAACAAUCUUCGAACAUAGAUUGAUUAGAAGAGAAUAAAUGCAAACAGUUUUACACAAUUUUCCCAGUACCCAUAGCACUCAAAAGGUGUUUGGGACCAUUACCUCAUCUUUAGG